GGGUGGGGCCAGUCUCUAGGGUGGGCUGCCUGCCCUGGCUGAGCUGGAUUAAAUCGGUGCUCUAGAGGGUGGAGCAGACCCUGGGCUAGCAGGUCUCAGGGAGAACUCCAAUGGCGUCUGUGUCAGCACCCUCACACCAGGCCACAACAAUGGCCGCCGCCAAUGUCCCAGUCCCUGGAGAGGUGUCACCCCUCACCGAGAUGCACUCAGGGCCUAUUAGGAAAAGUGAAGGAUUUCUCUAAGAGACCAAAAAUGCAGGAGAAAUUGAACAUGAGAGAGGCAAUUAUAAGCCCAGAUUGCUACAUGGCCUGGGAGCACCAGGAAGACUGUUAACACCUCGCCUCUCUGGCAAAAGAUCACACUCAACAGCUUAUUAAGAUUCCGGCAUCGGCACCAAUGACUAACGUGCAGCAAAGGCCUGGGAUUUACUUUCAAUUCAUUUAAUUACAGAAAUCAAUGAACUUCUGGAGCUGUGCCAGGUGAGAGAAAAUGAACAUAGCCCGACUGUCAUUGCAUUUGUGAUAUCAAGAUCGUUCAAGCAACUCUGGCUCAAGAAACCAUUAGAAUCUACAAGAAACCAAAUUGGCAAAAUGAUAAGAAUAAAAAAGUCUAAAAUAUUUUCUUUUGAAUAAAAGUAUAUGACCUAGGUUUGCAAUUAU